rnacentral:tmRNA from 1 species
GUUCAAGCUCUAAAAUCAAACGAAAUCUAAACUUGUAGAAAGCUCUUUUAUCGCUUGUUUGGACGCGGGUUCGAAUCCCGCCGACUCCACUU